AUUGAACGCUGGCGGCAGGCCUAACACAUGCAAGUCGAGCGAGCGGCGGACGGGUGAGUAAUGUCUGGGAAACUGCCCGAUGGAGGGGGAUAACUACUGGAAACGGUGGCUAAUACCGCAUACCAUCGGAUGUGCCCAGAUGGGAUUAGCUAGUAGGUGGGGUAAAGGCUCACCUAGGCGACGAUCCCUAGCUGGUCUGAGAGGAUGACCAGCCACACUGGGACUGAGACACGGCCCAGACUCCUACGGGAGGCAGCAGUGGGGAAUAUUGCACAAUGGGCGCAAGCCUGAUGCAGCCAUGCCGCGUGUAUGAAGAAGGCCUUCGGGUUGUAAAGUACUUUCAGCGAGGAGGCGUUACUCGCAGAAGAAGCACCGGCUAACUCCGUGCCAGCAGCCGCGGUAAUAC
rnacentral:rRNA from 1 species